rnacentral:rRNA from 1 species
GAUGAACGCUGGCGGCGUGCCUAAUACAUGCAAGUCGAGCGAACAGACGAGGAGCUUGCUCCUCUGACGUUAGCGGCGGACGGGUGAGUAACACGUGGAUAACCUACCUAUAAGACUGGGAUAACUUCGGGAAACCGGAGCUAAUACCGGAUAAUAUAUUGAACCGCAUGGUUCAAUAGUGAAAGACGGUUUUGCUGUCACUUAUAGAUGGAUCCGCGCCGCAUUAGCUAGUUGGUAAGGUAACGGCUUACCAAGGCAACGAUGCGUAGCCGACCUGAGAGGGUGAUCGGCCAGCCUGGAACUGAGACACGGUCCAGACUCCUACGGGAGGCAGCAGUAGGGAAUCUUCCGCAAAGGGCGAAAGCCUGACGGAGCAACGCCGCGUGAGUGAUGAAGGUCUUAGGAUCGUAAAACUCUGUUAUUAGGGAAGAACAAAUGUGUAAGUAACGAUGCACGUCUUGACGGUACCUAAUCAGAAAGCCACGGCUAACUACGUG